rnacentral:lncRNA from 1 species
UAGUAGGUUCUCCCCUUAACACGAACAAUACACGUUUUAAGCCCCGUUUCCCUUUCCGAACUACAGAGCCUUGCAAAAGUAUCAUCUGUCAUGGGCACCAAAACGUCUGUGAUCGUAUAUGACACAAGCCUUAAGAGAGUCCCAUCUAACCUGAACACCACGGUUUCUAUAUUGCAUGACCCCUGUUGGCGUGUCCACUCGAACCCUAGGCAGCUACUUGGUCCUCCCCUGUGGCUUUCACAAGGAAUUCACCAGCCAAGCCACAGGUAGAGAGACGGACCCGGGCAGGAUGUUUGAAAAUAGAAGCAGCCAGCUGUGCCUUCAGUGCCUUCUCUUGAAUCCCUGCACAAACCUGCUCUCGGCUCCAGCUGCCCGGUGGCUUUGAAAGUGAAUUAAGACUUAAACGAUAAAACACAAGCAUUGCUAGCCCACUGAACGGAGGGUGGAAGUGUUAGUGACAUUCUGCUGCUGCUGCUGCUGGAGCUGUGAAGUUACCUUUUGAACUUGUGUUUACUUGGCCUUUCCUUUUUUGGGAGGUGAGUUUAUUUUGGAAUUCCUGGAAUUCAAAUCCUUGAUGGGAAACGUCUGAAGACUGUUCUGUCAGGUGAGUUCAGGUUCUUUCUCUGCUUGUCCUCAAAAGGCCAGGAAGAGUUUUCACCUGGAAACCGAGAGAGGGAGGCGGCAGUUUUGCUGAAGCAGAAUCAGCUAACCUUUGGAGCAAUAUCAAUUUGUAAGUUGUUCUGCAAAUGAACCACAAAUUAUGUAAAUCCAUCCACCCCAACGCAGUAAACUAAAGCAGACAGCAGACAGUAUGGGAAAGGAUCCAUGUGAAAAGCACGUGGGGGCCGUGGACAAAGGCCUCUGUGCUUCUGAGGACUCCAGUUAACCCGGAUUCUUCAACAGAGCCCCACCAAAACAAAGGCUUGCAUUAAUUCAGGCCACCCGUCGGAUCAACGGAGAGGGAUUCCCUCUCAGCCCCCCCCCGUAAGGCCCGAAAUCUCCCUGCAGCAGGUUUUGCCUCGUGUUUUGCCUUGUCAUCCAUCUUCUCAGACGAGGCUUGUUUCACAUUUGCCAGCAAAACAUACACAGUAAUUUAGCUUUGCCAUAAUCUCCCAGCUAUAAUCCAGACAGAUUUCUCUGGGAUUUCUAUUAUCUAGAUUUAGCAAUAUGUCGCUGGCUGGGCAACUUAAAUUGCGGCAAAGCCUUUAGUCCUCACAAUAAACAUUUUCCGCUGCCCUGAUAACCCGGGGCG